UUAGGAACUUCUAGUAGUUUUUUUGUUAUUCUUGGCAGCAUCUGAUCUUUUUUUCAAUAACCUUUUGUAAUAAAGCUUUCGUUCGCUAUAGUAAGGUAUUGAAAUAAAGCUUCUAGUGGUGAUUCCUCUAUUUUUAUUAAAAAAAAAAAAAAAGAAGCUGCUUCGUGUUACAAAGGAACCAAAACAGGUAAUACAAAAUUGCUUGCAUAUGAUGGUGAAAAUAAAGAGGGUAGAAAGAAGAAAAUCAAGCACAAAAAUGGAUAAUUGAACAACAAAUGUUUUCCACUAAUUGGAUAAUUGAACAACAAAUGUUUUCCACUAAGUUUGUAAAGAUGUUUCUAUGACAACAACUUUUUGGGAUGUGAACAGGCAAGUAGAUAAUUUUCCUUUUCUGUUGUGGUUCCUAUUUGAAUAGUUAAUAAGCAUUUUGUAACUUCUCUGUCCAUCCGUCACUUGUGCAAAUUUAUUGAUUUAAUUUUCCGUUUCUUGGUCUGUGAAUGGCAAGUAUAGCUUGAGCUACAUCCCUUUCGCGAGGUCCAUGGUUUCAAAUCAUUGCAAGGUGUGCAUGCAGACAUUUAUGUGCACCACUAAGAAGGUGAAGUGCAGGGAGCUUGCGGAAGGAAAUCACCCCAAAUCUGAUGUUUAUACUUGCUUCCCUCAUCUCAAAAAAUGAAUGAAUGUGGAGAUGGAUUGAGAGUAUCAUCAUAUGUAAAUCUUUCUAUUAUGAUGUGGUUACAUCGUGGUUGCUUUAUGCAUGUUGUGGUACUGUCUGUUUGAGAGAGGGAGAGGGAGAAGGAGAGUGAUGUAUACUUGCUCUUUGUUCAAGUGGAACUCAGUGUUCAAUUAUAAUGAAUAUUGAUGCCAUUGGUGAUGCAAGCUUAUUUAAUUGUGAUGAGAAAUGCAUUGAUCAUGAAAA